UACGCAGUCCAUACCUCUACCUCUGAUGAAGUAGAAAGGCUGAUUCCGAUAGACCCCCGGCUCAAGGCACGAGAUACCACACAAACACAUAGUAAAGCACAGAAGCAGAUUACAUAACAUAAAUACGGCACCCAUAAGUAAUAUAAAACAGAGGAAAGCACACAGAUUCGUAAUAAAACAUGGAACACGGAACACGGAAUCAUAACAAGAAUAAAAUUCCCACCAAGUAAUUUCCUACACUAGCGAUCCAAACUGGCUCUAAUCCUCUGUCGUAAUUCGCGUCCUCCAGACCUUUCUAUUUAGGGUCAUGUCCUCGGUGAGCUGUAACUGUUCCAUGUCCCGCCUAAUCACCUCACCCCAGUACUUCUUCGGCCUACCCCUACCCCGCCUAAAACCAUCCAACGCCAGCCUCUCACACCUACGGACCGGGGCAUUCAUGCCCCUCCUCUUCACGUGUCCGAACCAUCUCAAUCGUGCUUCCCGCAUCUUGCACUCCACUGAAGUCACACCAACCUUCUCCCAGAUAGUCUCAUUCCGAACUCUAUCCCCUCUAGUUCAGUCCACACAUCCAGCGCAACAUCCGCAUUUCUGCCACCUUCAUUUUUUGGAUGUGGGAGUUCUUAACUGGCCAACACUCCGCUCCAUACAACAAGGCCGGACGGACUGAUUAGCUGGUGUAUACCUCAAAACUGAUUAUUUACCACACUUUUGAGGUCAGUUUAGUAGCAUGUGAUUAUUUUUUGAGCUUAUUUUCAGUAUACUUGUGAUACUAGAUGGUUAAGAAAUAUAGGCUGCUACACAUGGCUGUCAUUUUGCUUAGUAGACACAUUUAAGAACCUUGAUUGUUGCUCUCGCUGUCUGUAAAAUAAGAAAACGCCAUAUAUCAUAACAUAGCUGUCAUUGUGGCACUAAAAGUUGCAGUUCAAUGAUAUAAUGCCAUAUGACUGGAUAGAAGUUUAAAAUGUCAAUUGACUUUUACAUAACAUUUGUUGUACUGAAAGAAAAUAUUAAAGUAAUAGCUGAAAGUUAAUUUUGCAUAGGAAACAUCAUAUUGAGAUUCAAAUUUCUGAAUAAUUAAAAUAAUUUGAAUUCUUCAAAGCUAUUUAAUAACGAGUGGUUUAAGCUAGAAUGUUUCGAAUUAAUUUUGAGCCUCGUUAUGAUUAGGAGUUUUGGUUAUGCUUUUAGUUUAAUGCCAAAGUUUGUCUACUGAUUUCUGUUAGUAGGCCUCCCUUUUGAGAAGACUAGACAACAUAACUAUUAAAUGUGAAUGAUUAGCUAGUGAGUAUACUGAUAUGCAGGACUACUAGUGAGUAUACUGAUAUACUUAUAGAGUACCUUGUAAUGAAUCUGUAAAAUUUAGGAAAUAGAUCUUUAUUUGGACCCUCUUCUAGCCUAUGAUCAUUUAUAAAUAGUGUUUUCCUUCCAUUUUCCCACUCUUAUACUUGUUUUGAACAAUAUGAAAUUUCAAAGUUACCUGAUGUUCUCCAUACUAUACAACUCUAUAAGGGCUGGUAACAACUUUUGUGCACCAUAAAGGCUAGUAUCAACAAGUAUCACUGAAGAAGUUGCUUAUAUUGGUGCUAUUAGAGCAAAUCUAGUAAAUAAGACCAUGCUCGAAAAUUUCAUGGGUUAAUGAUGCAUGUAAUACUUCUUUCAAGUCAUAUGUACAUGAUUGAGUUUGGAAUGUGUUAAGAUUAUAUCACCAGAAUUCCUUCUUAAUCCUUCCUUAAAAUGAUGUUAAACCAUACUGUGUGUGUGUUUCUUCUUAUGGGUUAACUUAUAUUUCUUUAAAUAAUGACUUCAUGAUUGCUGAAUGAUCUUAAGGUCAUGGAGAGAACUGUGUACAAUGCUUUUUUGGACGAACAUGUUCAUAGAGAAAACAUGUAUAUCAGUAGAAAACCUCUUUAAUAAGGUACUCCUAUUGUUUAAGACAAUUGGGUUAUGCUCUCUAGGCGAACAUGUUGGUAUUCGAAGAAACUAGAAAGCAUGUAUAGCAGUAAAAUAUUUGCGGUAAAACAGAAGUUUUUAUAAUUUGAAUUUUGUAGGUUGUUUUCCAAGAGAUAGUAAGCUCGAUAGUGAUCCCUAAGUACCCUGUGUUAACUUAGUGUUGGACGUUUCUUAGUUUUUUAAGUAUGCUAGACAACUAGCAUGUGUAGCUAUGCUACGGUGUUUGUAAAGAUACAACAUUACAUCUCAGUUGGGACCAGACAAGAAUUUUCUAUAUUUAUGCUUUAACUUAUUGUGUGACUUCAGCAAUAUUAGUGAUUACACUAUGUGUCCUUUUUUUUAAAUAACAAAAAAUUCAUUAGUGGCUUACAUUUCUGUAAGUGGAGAAUAAUGGUUCAUUAUUAGAUAGUAUACCAACUUUUGUUGAUGUUGUGUAGUUUGUUGCUCAACUUUAAUUUUGUUUUUCUUAUUAUUGUAGGUGAUCAUGACUUAAAAUAUGGUGGGAACGAAAUUGAUGAACUAGACCUGACCUAAGAGAUCGAUCACAUUGGCUUCAUGUCACACUAGCUGUUGGAAAAACUUGUGUAUGUUUUGAUAGAGAUCGAUCACAUUUGACCGAGUAUACGUAGCUUCAAGCAUCUUUUAUUUGAACAUUCAAAACUUGUGUAUGUUUUAAAUUUUUUGAAUGGUCAAAAAAUAUUUGGUUUCUUAUUGGUUGAUAUUUUGGGAA
rnacentral:lncRNA from 1 species